rnacentral:lncRNA from 1 species
UUUCAAAAAAGUUUCUAAAUUUUGCGAUUUGACCCAAGAAUUUGUAUUAUUUAUAUUUAAGUUCUAUUGAAUUUAUGUUUAUUAUAAAAAAGAUUUUAGGGGCAUUUGAGACUUUCAAGUCAAAAAACCAUCAACAAGUCGCACAAAACGCGCGUAUGUCACACGAUUUGCUGGUAGGGGGGCGGGUGACUUUGACUUGUUAACAUAGGGGGGUAAGUGCUAAUUGUUUUUACAUAGGGACUUUUUCGGCAAUUAGACAUAUCA